rnacentral:rRNA from 1 species
AUUGAACGCUGGCGGCAGGCCUAACACAUGCAAGUCGAACGGUAACAGGAAGAAGCUUGCUUCUUUGCUGACGAGUGGCGGACGGGUGAGUAAUGUCUGGGAAACUGCCUGAUGGAGGGGGAUAACUACUGGAAACGGUAGCUAAUACCGCAUAACGUCGCAAGACCAAAGAGGGGGACCUUCGGGCCUCUUGCCAUCGGAUGUGCCCAGAUGGGAUUAGCUAGUAGGUGGGGUAACGGCUCACCUAGGCGACGAUCCCUAGCUGGUCUGAGAGGAUGACCAGCCACACUGGAACUGAGACACGGUCCAGACUCCUACGGGAGGCAGCAGUGGGGAAUAUUGCACAAUGGGCGCAAGCCUGAUGCAGCCAUGCCGCGUGUAUGAAGAAGGCCUUCGGGUUGUAAAGUACUCUCAGCGGGGAGGAAGGGAGUAAAGUUAAUACCUUUGCCCAUUGACGUUACCCGCAGAAGAAGCACCGGCUAACUCCGUG